rnacentral:lncRNA from 1 species
UCGAAAAUUCAGUUUCAAUCCCUUUUCUACUUUAUUCCUUAAGCAGAUCAAGCGUCGAUCUCGUAGUUGUCCUUCUUUAAUUUGUUGAAUGAGAUCAGAUUGCACUUGGAUGGAGGCCAUUAAUAUCAUUGAGUCUUGCCCUUUUCUCAUAACAUUCAAAUCAUAAUUCUCUUCUAAUAACUUUCAUUGCUUCAUAACCAAAGUCGCCAUAAAACUUGUAGAUU